rnacentral:lncRNA from 1 species
CUGGGGUGGUCUGAGAUUAUGGUUCCCUGACACCUAUUCGUAAAGAGUUCGAGCCUGCGUUUGAGAAGGUUAUUUACUUACAUACCUCAAGACUACGCUAUGGAAAUAAAAUUUAAAGAUGAUGGAUGAGGACAUCGGCAGCUUCUGGACAAGCAUGCAUGGGAUCCUGGGUUCAAUACCCCGUGGCAGCAAAAAUGAAAUAAUUGAAUCGGGCAUGGUAACACAUGUUUGUAACCUCAGCAGGUAGUUAGCAGGGUGCCCCCAUUAUAUUGGGAGUGGAGAGCCAGCCUGGGCUGCCAGAGAAUCAAUCUCUCUCUCUCCCUCUCUCUCUUCAGAUCUUCUUAGGGUUAUUAUUGCAGCUAUGACAACUGUUGUUAAAACAAGACAAAGAGGCUCAAACCCAAGCUCCUUGAAUGACAAAAACGAAAGAAUCAACCCCCACGACUGUUUGACUCAUGAAAUGAACAAGUCCUAAAGAUCUGUGGAUCCAACAGUUUUUGGUCGUGGCUACUAAGUCAUUGGGAAGAACCUUACCAGUGACACAUACUUAAGGUUGUUAAAGUUUCUAUUUCCCACUGUCCAAGAGUUCUUGCAAACUCGUUGGAACAGUGUUUCUCAACUUUUGGCUGGAGAUCCUUAUUCAAAGGUUACCUAAGACCAUCUGAAAAGAGGAAUUAUAGCCUGUGUGCAUCCUGGCUGGAAGCAAGAUGAGAGUCACCUGAGCAGAUGGAUCUAUGUGAAACUUUGAGUUCAUUUUCCCAUGGUGCUCUUCCCUCAUCCCAGCAGGCAGUCCAUGUGAGUGACAGCCAAGGGUAGUAGUGGGGAAGCAGAAAUAUUCAGUUACUUUGACAAAAAGGGAUAUGUGCAGUGACAAUUUUGGAAUUUUGGCUUCUUUGAAAAACACAGGAAAAUUAUAAGAAUGUUUUCUUCUUAAUCCUGGGUACAGGAUAUGGGGCUGCUUCAGACUGUCUUCAGCAAGUAACCACAGUUUGUCUCAUGUGCUAGCAGGAGCAUGAUCUUGCCAGCUGCAGAUAGUUUCUGCGAUUGUUUGACCUUUGGCAUUCUGGGGAACUUUUCAGAGGGAAUAUAAAUGCUAGGCCCCCAAGAAGGUCAAUGGGUUGUUGGUUGGUUGCUGUUGGUUGAGGUUUGUUAAGUAGGAAGAGAUCAUUUUUCUGCUUAGAAGGGCCCAGGUGAGAGCUGGUUCUUCUAUACAAAAAAGGAUAUCGAAUGCCUGUGGAAAAAAAAGUCAGUCCACAGCCUCAGGUGGGCUGCAGUUUAGGGCCUGCGCUCACACCUAACCUCUCCCCAGCACGUCUCUCAUCUUCUGUUCAUUUUAAAGGUUUUCUUAUUUAUUUAUGUAUAUGAGUAUGUUGUCGCUGUCGUCAGACACCAGCAGAGGGCGUCAGACCCCAUUGCAGAUGACUGAACUACCAUGUGGUGGCGGGGACUUGAACUCAGGACCUCUGGAAGAGCAGUCGGUGCUCUUAAUCCCUGAGCCAUCUCUCCAGCCUCACUUUUCUCAUUUUCAACAGGUGCUUCCCUACCCGGCUUCUACUUUCUUGAAAGAUGUAAGCAAUGCACCGAUUAGGUCUCAGUUCCUUAACACCAAACUGCCCAUCCUUCUAUCUUCUAGUGAGCAGACUCCUUCCUCUGCAGGGUGGUUCCCCAGUGCUGAGUGUGCCCCCUCACCCUACUCCCAUCAUGUCCUCUCCAUCUUGUUCCGUCUCACAGACCAGUCAGCCUUCUCCAGCUUCCCAACUAAAAGGGAAACAUCUUCUCCAGUCCUUCCAGAGGCCAUCCUUCCUAUCCGUCAUAAGCAAAUGAGCUACCAUUGUCCAAAACAAAACUUAUUUUUUAAAAAAAAAGAUUUAUCUUAUGCGUAUAAAUGUUUUGUUUGCAUAUAUGUCUGGGCACCACAUAUGCACCUGGUACCCAAGAAGGUCAGAGGAGCGUGUCACAUCCCCUGAAACUGGUGACACAGAUGUUUGUGGCUGCUGUGGGUUUUAGGAGAGCCUCUGCAGGAGUAACCACUGAGCCAUCCCUCCAGACUCACUAUCUUUAUUUUUCAAUGUCCCAUUUAUUCCUUAGCCCCUUAACUCAGCCUUUCUGUUCCCACCAUUUGCUUGCUUUGAUCUGGGCAAGAUUACUAGCCAACUUCUAGUGUUUAAAUCCACUAAAUUCUUUACAAUGUUGUCUCAAAGCUUUAUUUUUAUUUUUAAAUUUACAUUUAGCCCCCCCCCCUCCCAGCAUGUGCUGCCGACAGAGGACAACUCAUGGGAGUCCCUUCCCGUGGUUUUCCCUGCGGCACCCUGACUUCUGCUGAGCUGAUCUGUGGGAGAGAAAGGAACGCCAAGAGGCUGCCUCCCUUUGCCUCCUGCCUGUAUUGUCACAGAAAGUGAAUGGAGGCUUGGCAGCUGCUUCAGUCUGGCUGGCUGCUCUGAUUAUUGCAUGGACACCUCUGGCUGGCACCCAGCAGACCCUUUCUAGUUGAAGUAGUAUAGCAAAUUAUCUUGUAUUAAUUUUGUGCCCAUGGCUCCUUGAGCUUGGAUCUGUGGGUUUACCGUUUCCCAUAGGAAACUAUGGGCCAUUUCUUUUUUCUUUUCUUUUCUUUUCUUUUCUUUUCUUUUCUUUUCUUUUUAACUUUCAAUUCAUUGUAUCUUUAAUAAUCUGGUAUGAAAAGAAAGAAAG